GACGAACGCUGGCGGCGUGCCUAAUACAUGCAAGUCGAACGCUGAAGGAGGAGCUUGCUCUUCUGGAUGAGUUGCGAACGGGUGAGUAACGCGUAGGUAACCUGCCUGGUAGCGGGGGAUAACUAUUGGAAACGAUAGCUAAUACCGCAUAAGAGUAGAUGUUGCAUGACAUUUACUUAAAAGGUGCAAUUGCAUCACUACCAGAUGGACCUGCGUUGUAUUAGCUAGUUGGUGGGGUAACGGCUUACCAAGGCGAUGAUACAUAGCCGACCUGAGAGGGUGAUCGGCCACACUGGGACUGAGACACGGCCCAGACUCCUACGGGAGGAAGCAGUAGGGAAUCUUCGGCAAUGGACGGAAGUCUGACCGAGCAACGCCGCGUGAGUGAAGAAGGUUUUCGGAUCGUAAAGCUCUGUUGUAAGAGAAGAACGAGUGUGAGAGUGGAAAGUUCACACUGUGACGGUAUCUUACCAGAAAGGGACGGCUAACUACGUG
rnacentral:rRNA from 1 species